UACAGAGGUCCCAAGCGUUGUUCGGAUUCACUGGGCGUAAAGGGUGCGUAGGUGGUGAGGUAAGUCGGAUGUGAAAUCUCCAAGCUCAACUUGGAAAUGGCAUUGGAAACUACCUUGCUCGAGGAAUGGAGGGGGGACUGGAAUUCUCGGUGUAGCAGUGAAAUGCGUAGAGAUGCGGAGGAACACCGAUGGCGAAGGCAGCCCCCUGGGCUGACACUGACGCUCAGGCACGAAAGCGUGGGGAGCAAACAGG
rnacentral:rRNA from 1 species